UACGUAGGGAGCUAGCGUUGUCCGGAAUCAUUGGGCGUAAAGCGCGCGUAGGCGGCCCGGUAAGUCCGCUGUGAAAGUCAAAGGCUCAACCUUUGAAUGUCAGCGGAUACUGCCGGGCUAGAGUCCGGAAGAGGCGAGUGGAACUCCUGGUGUAGCGGUGGAAUGCGUAGAUAUCUGGAGGAACACCGGUGGCGAAGGCGGCAUCCUGGACCGGCAUUGACGCUGAGGCGCGAAAGCCAGGGGAGCAAACGGG
rnacentral:rRNA from 1 species